CACCUUGAAACUUAUAGAGUUUUCAAACUGUCUUUGUUUCUAGGAGUCAUGAUGUUCAGAUACAAUUAUAUUGAAUUCAUUAUUGAACUUUUUCAGCUUGUAAAGGUGCUUCACAGAAGCUUGUUAUAUCCCAAGAAUCGGAAGAUCAUAAUUGCUGGUAGAUGAAUUUGAUCAACAUGACUGCUGAGGAGGUUGACGAGGAACUGAUUGAAUUGAGAAAAGUUAAGGAGAAACUUAUUCAGAGGACAAUUGAAUUAAGGAACGAAUUGGAUGCCUGGGAAAAGGCAGGAGGCAAAACUCAUAACAAAACAGAAAAGGAUUUCUUACCUGAAGAAAAUGAAUUUAAAGAUUUUUUCUGUCAACGUGAUCCUGGAAAUGGUCUGAACAAAAAAUGUGUUACUGUAUCCAGUUUCAUGUUGGGUUUCAAAUUCAAUGGCGUAGAUAAGAAAUGGAUAUCGGAUCACAAAUACUUGUACACUGCCAAUGUCAAGUCAAAGGUGUUGGAAUUUUUUGUCGAGAUUACUGUGAAUUCAAAGGACUCAGAAAAAAAUGUUGAAGUUUUGGAAGUUGAGUGCCGUUUUGACAGUGUCAAAAAAUGCUAUCUUCUUGAAAUAGCACCUUGGAUUCAGCAGUUUACUGAAGCUAAAGAUACCACAAAUUUAUUUGGUGCUGUAUCAGAUUACACCGAACAGAAUAUAAUACGUGCAAAAAUUCUGAAUCAAUUAAAAAAUCGUGAAGUUGUGUCUGUGGAAGAAUUUAUAGACGACGAUGGUGGUAUAAUGAUUUUGUUACACUCAAAGAACAACACUGAUUUAGUCUACCUGGAAAUAAGGUGGAUAUUGAGAUUCCUUGAAAGUGUGUGGUGUAUUGACAAUUUUUUUAUAAUCUCACAGUUCUCUGCGGGGGAUAAUUUUUUAGCAGCGCACUCCCAACUUCUCAAGAAAUUUUGUCAAUGUAAGAUAAAUCAGACUGAACUCGAGGAUCUGUGGAACCAAUUAUGCAAUGUAGUAGAACAAGAUGAAACACCGAGUGAAACACGCUCAUAGAAAAUACCGUUAUAGUUGUAUUAGUUAUUCUGAUCUUCAACCGUGAAUAAUCUUUUCAAUUACUCGGUUGGCGGCUGAUUAAUUUUUGCAAUAAUUAUUUUCGUAGUCCUUUGUUUCAUUCGCAUCUUGAAAAUAGGUCUCAAAUAUUCAAAGACAAGUGAAGAUCCUGAUUGUAAUUUUCCAACUUCACAAUUGAAAAAUGGUUAUACGUUGCCAGGUUCAGUGCGUCAUACACUUUUACAUGUAGCAAAUUUGUGAGUUUUGAGUUUAUAUGUCAAAAUAUUUGUCACAACAUUUUAUGGAAUACGAAACAAUCAUCGUAUUAUCCAAUUAGUAACCUCGCAUGGAAUCAUGCGAAGAAGCGCAGUUGAAGAUAAUGAGGAGCCCAAAACAAACUCAAAUACUCUUUGGGCUUAUACUCCUUGUCGCUUGAAUACCCCAAAUGAGACCGACACUGAAUCUUCAACUCUAUUAUCUACAUUCUGCUGUUGCUUUAGUAAUGAGGAGGACCGCCAAUCUCAGACUGAUCGUCUUUCCGUACAUUUUACUUUAGGGGAUUCGCCCGUUACAUUGUCCCGAGCACUUUUAUGCCUUGACAAUCCACAGAUACCGAAUGAUCAAGUCAGUUAUCCAAUUUCCGAGGACGUUAUUCUUGCAGACCAUCGUAGCCAAAACGUAUUGCAACAUCCAUACGUUAUUAGAAGUACACAAAUGCUGUUCAUGGGAUACGACUUGACCUC